GUAUUUAUUGACAUUAGCACACUCCGUUAGAGAACUUUAUCAUCACGUUACAAUUACAAAGGGAUGUAGAGAUGACAUGGCAAUGUGGUUUAAAUUCCUAAGUCAGUGGAAUGGUAUAUCAUUUUUUAUCAGCGAUAACGUUAUUAAUGCGUCCGAUUUUCAUUUAUUUACGGAUGCUUCAUCAACAAUCGGAUACGGAGGUUAUUUUAGGAAAAGGUGGUUUCAAGGCAUUUGGCCCGACGAUUUUAUUCGGCCCGAUGAGGAGUCUUUCUCAAUGGCUUACUUAGAAUUGUAUCCGAUUGUUAUAUCUGCUAUUUUAUGGGGGCAUGAAUGGUCUACUAAACGCAUUCUUUUUCAUUGUGAUAAUAUGUCUAGUGUGUACAUUAUUAAUAAGGGUCGUUCAAAGUGUAACGUAAUUAUGAAUCUUGUUCGCCGUUUAACUUGGUGUGCGGCUAAAUUUAAUUUUGUUGUACAUGCUGUACAUGUACAGGGAAAGAAAAUAACAUAGCAGAUGCUCUUUCUCGUUACCAGAUGAAGCGGUUUCGACAAUUGGCUCCGGACGCUUCGCCAAAUCCAUGCACCUGCCCUCCUCAUUCCGAAAUUCUGUGGAGUUAGAUCAAGCAGUCGACAGCUUAUGGAAUAAAAGUAUCAAUGUGAAUACCCGCAAUGUUUAUUCAACAGGAUAUAAAUGUUUUAUUCAAUUUUGUGGCAAUCAUAUCACUGGAUUCAACUCAAGGAGUUUCAAUAUGUCUAAAGUUUCGGAAGAUUUAUUGAUCUAUUUCGUGGCCCAUUGCCAAUCAGUGUUAAAACUGAAAUAUUCAACAAUCAAAUUAUAUCUCGCUGGAGUUCGUUUUCAUGGAGUUAAUUUUGAUAAUGUGAA
rnacentral:lncRNA from 1 species